rnacentral:rRNA from 1 species
GCCGGCUUAACCGACGGGCGUCUAAGAGAUACUGAGAGUCUAGGGACCGGGAGAGGUGAGAGGUACUCCGGGGGUAGGAGUGAAAUCCUGUAAUCCCCGGGGGACCACCGAUGGCGAAGGCAUCUCACCAGAACGGCUCCGACAGUGAGGGACGAAAGCUGGGGGAGCGAACCGGAUUAGAUACCCGGGUAGUCCCGGCUGUAAACGAUGCGCGUUAGGUGUAUCGGUGACCACGAGUCACCGAGGUGCCGAAGGGAAACCGUGAAACGUGCCGCCUGGGAAGUACGGUCGCAAGGCUGAAACUUAAAGGAAUUGGCGGGGGAGCACCACAACAGGUGGAGCCUGCGGUUUAAUCGGACUCAACGCCGGAAAGCUCACCGGAUAAGACAGCGGAAUGAUAGCCGGGCUGAAGACUCUGCUUGACUAGCUGAGAGGA